UGCUCUUUUAUCAUAACUCAACUUGAAAGUAGCCAAACCAAGACAGUCAAUGACAUGCUUUUCGAGAUAUAAAAUUAGCUAUGGUGAAAGAAAAGGUAGUACAGAGAGAUGAUGAUGUUCCCCAGAGGGAGGGGAGGAAGGUUGUUGAGGAAGAACCAGUGGCCCAGCUCAAGAAGGAGCCCAAGAAGACAGGAAAGGCGAAGAGGAAAAGUAGUGCCAAGAAGUCAGGGGAGAAGGGCACCGAUACAGAUGCAGGUCAUAGAUUUUCCCUCUGUAGUAUGUUGGU